AUUGAACGCUGGCGGCAGGCUUAACACAUGCAAGUCGAGCGGGGGCUUCGGUCCUAGCGGCGAACGGGUGAGGAAUGCCUGGGAAUCUGCCUGGUAGUGGGGGAUAACGAUUCGAAAGGGUCGCUAAUACCGCAUACGUCCUACGGGAGAAAGCAGGGGACCUUCGGGCCUUGCGCUAUCAGAUGAGCCCAGGUCGGAUUAGCUAGUAGGUGAGGUAAAGGCUCACCUAGGCGACGAUCCGUAGCUGGUCUGAGAGGAUGAUCAGCCACACUGGAACUGAGACACGGUCCAGACUCCUACGGGAGGCAGCAGUGGGGGUAAUAUUGGACAAUGGGACGAAAGCCUGAUCCAGCCGUGCCGCGUGAGUGAAGAAGGCC
rnacentral:rRNA from 1 species